rnacentral:tRNA from 1 species
GGUGGCUCAGUGGUAGAGUGCAUGCCUUGCGCACAUGAGGCCCUGGGUUCGAUGCCUCAGUACCA